AAGCCUGAGCAUCGAUGCCGCGUGAUUAUGAAGGUCUAGGAUUGUAAAUUCUUCACCGGGACGAUAAUGCGGUACCCGUAAUAAGCCCGGCUAACUCGGCCAGCAGCCUCGGUAAUUCGAAGGGGCUAGCGUUGCUCGAAUUAUUGGGCGUAAAGGCGCGUAGCGGAUCGUUAAGUCAGAGGUGAAAUCCCAGGGCUC
rnacentral:rRNA from 1 species